AACGCGAAGAACCUUACCUACCCUUGACAUCCUUGGAAUCCUGCUGAAAGGCGGGAGUGCCGAAAGGAACCGAGAGACAGGUGCUGCAUGGCUGUCGUCAGCUCGUGUCGUGAGAUGUUGGGUUAAGUCCCGUAACGAGCGCAACCCUUGUCCUUCGUUGCCAUCUUGAAAGAGAGGAACUCGAAGGAGACUGCCGGUGACAAACCGGAGGAAGGUGGGGAUGACGUCAAGUCAUCAUGGCCUUUAUGGGUAGGGCUACACACGUGCUACAAUGGGGUGCACAACGGGAAGCGAACUUGUGAGAGGGAGCCAAUCCUUAGAAACACCUCGUAGUCCGGAUUGGAGUCUGCAACUCGACUCCAUGAAGUUGGAAUCGCUAGUAAUCGCGGAUCAGAAUGCCGCGGUGAAUACGUUCCCGGGCCUUGUACACACCGGUACUA
rnacentral:rRNA from 1 species